GAAUUUUGGACAAUGGGGGCAACCCUGAUCCAGCCAUCCCGCGUGUGCGAUGAAGGCCUUCGGGUUGUAAAGCACUUUUGGCCGGGAAGAAAAGGCGCUGGCUAAUACCUGGAGCUGCUGACGGUACCUGCCGCAUCAGCACCGGCUACCUACGUUCCCCGCGCCGCGGUAAUACGUAGGGGGCAAGCGUUAAUCGGAAUGCCGUGGCGUAAAGUGUGCUCAGGCGGUUCGGCAAGAAGGAUGUGAAAUCCCAGGGCUUAACCUUGGAACUGCAUUCUUAACUGCCGGGCUAGAGUAUGUCAGAGGGGGGUAGAAUUCCGCGUGUAGCAGUGAAAUGCGUAGAGAUGCGGAGGAAUACCGAUGGCGAAGGCAGCCCCCUGGGAUAAUACUGACGCUCAUGCACGAAAGCGUGGGGAGCAAAC
rnacentral:rRNA from 1 species